rnacentral:rRNA from 1 species
AGCGCAGGCGGUCUUUUAAGUCUAAUGUGAAAGCCUUCGGCUCAACCGAAGAAGUGCACUGGAAACUGGGAGACUUGAGUGCAGAAGAGGACAGUGGAACUCCAUGUGUAGCGGUGAAAUGCGUAGAUAUAUGGAAGAACACCAGUGGCGAAGGCGGCUGUCUGGUCUGCAACUGACGCUGAGGCUCGAAAGCAUGGGUAGCGAACA